ACGGAGGGUGCAAGCGUUAUCCGGAUCCACUGGGUUUAAAGGGUGCGUAGGCGGCUAUAUAAGUCAGUGGUGAAAGCCCGCAGCUCAACUGCGGAAUUGCCAUUGAAACUGCAUAGCUUGAAUCUGGUUGAAGUGGGCGGAAUACAUCAUGUAGCGGUGAAAUGCUUAGAUAUGAUGUAGAACACCGAUUGCGAAGGCGGCUCACUAAGCCAACAUUGAUGCUGAGGCACGAAAGCGUGGGUAGCGAACAGGA
rnacentral:rRNA from 1 species